rnacentral:rRNA from 1 species
UACGAAGGGGGCUAGCGUUGCUCGGAAUCACUGGGCGUAAAGCGCACGUAGGCGGAUUGCUAAGUCAGGGGUGAAAUCCUGGAGCUCAACUCCAGAACUGCCUUUGAUACUGGCGACCUUGAGUCCGGGAGAGGUGAGUGGAACUGCGAGUGUAGAGGUGAAAUUCGUAGAUAUUCGCAAGAACACCCAGUGGCGAAGGGCGGCUCACUGGCCCGGUACUGACGCUGAGGUGCGAAAAGCGUGGGGGAGCAAACAGGG